CAGCGAAGCAGCGUUCCCCUGGGAGAGAGGCAUGAGAGCAGAUGGGGAGUCUACCCAAGCCGCAGCGCAGAGGAAGGGCUGAAAGCCAAGGUCAAGCAGACACUGAGUACACCUCAUCAGCAAAUCAGCCCCCACCCUAAAGAACAAGGCUGAGCACUGGAAGCAUCACACUCCUGCACAACUGGACCUCUACCUCUGCCAGCAAGGAGUGACCAGGACUGAACUAGCCCUUCCACCACAAUCAGGCCAAAGGUGUUUUGUUCUGUACCUGCACAUUUUUCCAUGAUUUUCUUCAGAGGCCCAUGAGUGUACAUUAGUCCAACAAGAAUCCCGGCCAGAUGCCCGGCGAAGGAAGUCCUAGGAGAGAAGGAGACCCUUU